rnacentral:lncRNA from 1 species
CUCCAUCUACUAUAACAACAGGAUUUGGAAUUUAAACGAACCAUAGUAUAUAUUUAACAUUCAUUUGAGCAAAAAUCAGAACUGUUACUCAGCAUUUUUGUUUUGGGGAAUGUAUCAAGAUCAAAUUUACCUUAUCAUUAACACAUCUGUUUCGUUUCUGAAGGCUAAAAUGCGGAGUUUCUCUUGGUGGAUUCGUUUUUUCGACCAAAGUAGUUUAAAAGAAAACGAAACUGCCGUGAAGAAGUUUGAGCAGGCUACGUCAAAGAGUUCAUACCUGCCAGCAUGUCAAGUAUUCCACCUAAAUCCAUACCACUGAUACAAAGAGAAAAGUCAUCAAGAUCAAAUUUCCAUUAUUUUUGUUGUCAUAUGCAUUGAAGGUGAAGUAAAAAUAUCUUCAGCUCUCAUACAACAUGUACUCUGUUGGGGAACUAAAUUUGGUAAAAGAGAUGUUGGUAUCAAUGGGUUAAUGCCCUUAACAUUACAGGUUUGAUAUUUAUUAAUUCAAUCGAUGGGGAAAAUUACACCUAUUUGUUGUAGACAUGCAUUUAUUUAGUUAUAUUGUUUUCUGAAUGUGGAAGUAAAUCUAGCUUCCCAUUAUGAGAUUACCCAUAUUUCUAUUUGUCUUCUCUUCAAACAACUUCUUGUAACAUGAAAUGAGACAAGGUAGUCUAAAUUUCCAAUCGGUAUUGUAGUUGGCACUCAUUGGCAUAUAUUAACUUUUAGAUUAUUUUAAGAUUGCUUUUAACUUUGAUUUCAAAAUGUUUUGCACAUGAUUCAUUGAUUUUUAUUUCUUCAUUUCAAGCUCAACAUGCCAUUGGGGCAACAAAAUUUAGCUAUCACUUUCAAGCCAGAAUGCAGAAAAUCGAUCAAAUCACAAUGGACUAAAAUCAAUGGGGGCAAACCGCAUGACCUACAAUUCCUACUAGUAUCCUACAAACAAAUAACCCUUCAAUCACACCUACUUUAAGCACUAACUUGAACAAAAAAAUAUUUAGGUCUUGAUAGUAAUUGAUCUAUUCAAAAGUUUUUCUUUACGUCAUUGGAUUGUUAGUGAGUUCCAAACAACAAUUCAAUGAUCGAUGUAGUGGAUUAAUACUCAUUGACGAGUAGAAUAUGCUUUAGAUUUAAAUCGAUCGGAUGGCUAGUUUCAAAGAUUGGAGAAAAAAAAUUGGUUGGAUUUUGAUUCUCAAAUUCAUGACGUUUAAAGUUAUUUCAUAAAAAGAAAUUAAACUGUAGAAGAGAAGAGGAAUAAGAGUUUUCAAUGGGUGAAUGCGAUGCAAAUAGAGAAGACCAUACAACAAAGAUUUUAACAAUUCAGUGAUUUAAACAAAAUUUUUUAAAUAAUUCAAUAACUAUUUUAUAACUUUUUGAAGUAAAAUAACAAAAUCUAAUUUUACUUGUAAUGUAUUCUUAAAUCUAAUAGCCAUUAUUGCUAUUCGAUCUAUUGAUGCGGCGUCGUAUCAUAUCACCGACGCGCUAGUAACUGUAUGCAUAUGUAUCACACAACUCCGAAAGGCGCGCUCAAACACGUUGGAUCUUAGCUUUAAGCAAAAACAAAUUUAAUUAAAAAAAAACAGUGAAAAAUAAAAAUACUGAGUAUCCAAUCCAACCCAAAGUCCCUUUCAAACUCGACUAGCUGUUAAAUUCUCUUUUUUAGCCAAAAAUGGUGUAAAUUCAAACUAGUAUACCGUUCGAAGAAAAAAAAAGAGCCAAAUAAGCUUCUUUUUUCCUUCACAGAUCUGAGAUCCAAAAUCCAAAUCUAAGGCGAAUUUUUAAUUUUUAUUUCAUAAUUUCUUCCAUUUUAUGUUAGCUUUCUCAUGUUUUUGGAUCUGUUUUGUUUUUUCAAUGAAAAUGCUAAAAUUUUGUGUAAAUCUGUUGUAUGUUUGGUGCAGUGUAAGCAAUUACAUCAAAUAUAUUAUUAUAAGAGUAAAAAGCAAAGUAAAAAUGUCAAGGAGGCAAGUAAGUUCCACGCGCCGAUUUGUUGACAGCGGAAACUUCCCGUUCUCUGGUGCUUUACAUUCUAAAUCCCGAUCUUCUCCUAUUUUAUCUAUCGCUCUUGUCGUUGUGGUAAUAUCUUUAUCUUUUCCUUUCUUUUUUGUGGUUUUUGAAUUUUUUCAAUUAAUGUUACAUUUUGAAAAGGACAUUAACUGGGGUAAUAUUUUUGAAAAUGAUUUACAGGGAGCUAUCCUUCUCAUUGGCUAUGCCUAUAGUGGUUCAGGUAUUCUUCUUUUUUUAUUGGAAUUUCUUAUUUGUGUUUACUUGUUUUUGUUUGUUGGAUAUGCUGGUCUUGUUAGUUCAAUUAAUUGUUCACACUGUUUAUACUGUUCGUGAAUAUAGGUAAAUUCCGAGGUGAAGCAGUUAGUCGGAUCGAAGGUAAAUUAUUCUUUUACUUUCUUCCUCAUUGGAUUUAAUGUUCAUAAUGAAAUGAACUCGUGAAGUUACUGAUUUUUAUUUGAUUUUGAUGUCAUCGUGUCUCUUUGGAACUACUUGAAUAUUUAGUGGAUUCAUUAAUGCUUUGUUUGGUAGAGUAGAUAAAUUGGGAGGAUGAGUUCACAUGUUAUAUCAAAUUUAGUUAAGAUUCAAUGCACAUAUGUAUCCGAGAGCGUAUAUAUAAGAUAUUUUUAUUCAUUGGAGAGAAUAUUUUGGACAAAAAAAAAAUAUUGAUCUUAGAGGCCUUACUUCUGCAUCUCAAGGUAAUGGAGCUUUCUUGCAUUUGAUACUUGUACCAUAGAAUAAUCUCUUACAAUUUGUCAUAAUCUUCUCCUUAAGUGCUUUCUAGAGGGGUAAAAGUAUCAUGGAAGCCCCUAUACUAGAAGUCGGAUUGCAUUUUGGUCCCUAUACUCAAAAAAAGGGGCAAAUUAGUCCUUGUACGUUAAAUCAAAGAGCAAAUUGGUCCUUUUAUAAAAAAAUUCAUCUAUUUUUACCUUUAAAAACUAGUUCUUGUACGUCAGCAGGACGUACGCGUAUGUGUCACUAUCUAGUUAUUCUUUUAGCCAUGUUAGUUUUUAACAAUACAAAGGGAUGAAAUUUUUAAAAGAAAAGACCAAUUUGCUCUUUGAUCUAAAAUAUACAGUGACUAAUUUGCCUAUUUUUUAGUAGAGGGAGCAAAAUGCAAUAUGACUCUUAGUAUAGGGGUUUCCAUGAUACUUUUAACUUUUUAGAGGAAGGAAAGUUGAAAGAUAAGGUGGGAUUUUAUUUAAUUUUGGCCCGAGGAAUAAAAGGGAUUAUCAGAUGUGGUUAUAUUAGUUAGAUAUGGUUUGCAUCUUCUGUGAUAACUGGAAGACUGAAAGUUAAUGGUUAUAAUGGAUUUGCCAUGCUCUGUUAAGGGUGUGUUUUCAUUGAGUGUAAUGUUCUGAAAAUCAAUUAUUUUCUUGUUAUCUUUGUAGGUGACUAUACAUGCAGUCUAGAAGUUCAGAGGGCAAUACCAUUUUUGAAGAAGGCAUAUGGGGACAGCAUGCACAAGGUUUUGCAUGUAGGACCUGAUACCUGUUCAGUUGUCUCUAAACUUUUGAAAGAAGAGGAUACUGAAGCCUGGGGUGUGGAACCAUAUGAUAUAGAGGAUGUUGAAGAAAGUUGCAAGAGUCUUGUGGGUAAAGGGAUUGUACGUGUGGCAGAUAUCAAGUACCCUCUUCCCUAUAAGCCAAAGUCUUUUUCUCUUGUUAUUGUGUCGGAUGCCCUUGAUUACUUGUCUCCAAAAUACCUGAACAAGACUCUGCUUGAGUUGGCCAGGGUUGCCUCUGAUGGUCUCAUUAUUUUUGCAGGUAAUCCCUUACUCUUUCAAGUUCUAUAUAAAUUAUAAAACAAGAGUUACUCAGGCCAAAAAUGCUUAUAUCCAGAUAUAUUUUCUUACAAAAAAGCUGUACCAUAACUAUAACAUGAUAUAUUUUCAUUUGUCGAUCAGGUACCCCUGGUCAUCAGAAGGCUAAAGUGGCAGAACUAUCGAAAUUCGGCCGGCCAGUAAGUCCCUAUAUGCUAGUUGAAAUCAACCAUAGUAUAUAUUUAACAUUCAUUUGAUCAAAAAUCAGAACUGUUACUCAGCAUUUUUGUUUUGGGGAAUGUAUCAAGAUCAAAUUUACCUUAUCAUUAACACAUCUGUUUCGUUUCUGAAGGCUAAAAUGCAGAGUUCCUCUUGGUGGAUUCGUUUUUUCGACCAAAUCAGUUUAAAAGAAAAUGAAACUGCCGUGAAGAAGUUUGAGCAGGCUGCAUCAAAGAGUUCAUACCUGCCAGCAUGUCAAGUAUUCCACCUAAAUCCAUACCACUGAUACAAAGAGAAAAGUCAUCAAGAUCAAAUUUCCAUUAUUUUUGUUGUCAUAUGCAUUGAAGGUGAAGUGAAAAUAUCUUCAGCUCUCAUACAACAUGUACUCUGUUGGGGAACUAAAUUUGGUAAAAGAGA